AAAGAAGAGCCAAAGCCAUCAAGCUGGAGUCUCAGCGGACCAGAACAUGGUGGACUCUCCUGAAAAAGGGAACUCCAGGAGUGAAUUGCAGAAACCCUUCAGAGUAUCUUUCCAGCUGCGACAUCACUGAAUGUGUCAGGCAGGCCCUAACACUGGCAUUAAGCUGCUGUCAGCUCACACUCACGUAAGAGGAACAUUCUCAGAGGUCAAACGCCUGGCUGUAUUGCCUGUCAGACACCAACAGGGACCAUCACCAUGACAGGAGGAAAGAGAGGAGAAGCAGUGUUCAGUCAUGAUCCACAUGCUGAAAAUACCACAGCACAAAAGGCGGCAGCCACCUCCAACAGUGACAAAAAAAGGAUACGCCCGGUGGGAGUGGCUAGGUGCACCUGUGGCUCCUUACAAUCAGCAGGGAUGGUUAAAUGAUGAGCCAACCUGAUCAUCGUUGCCAGUGGGCCAGAUCAGCUGCCAGAGUGUUGUGUUGGUGUUGAUGUCUCGUGUUCUGUUUAAGGCCAAGGGUCUAAUUGUUAAAGGGCUGUGUGAUAGGGCGCCCAACUUUGUAUUUACGAAGCCUGCUUUGUGUUGGAAUCUUUUUUUUUUGGUAAAUAAAUUUCUCUUUGUUGAGGUCGCACAAUCAGUUUUCCUGCCUCUGUAUCUUCCUAUUUCUUACUCCCCUCAUCCUCUAGUUCUCGGGGACGUAACAGCACUGAUACAGGGGCAUUCAGGAACAGUGGAUAUGUAAUUGUGUACAGGACGUUUUUUGUUUAUGUAACCUGCAGCUCGAAGCAGUUUGGUAAUUACUAUUAAAAAAAACUGUUUGACAGUGGAACUAAAGGCAACCUAAAAAAGAAGGAAAAAUGAUGCCCAUUGUUGCUGUUGAGAGACAGAACUGAAAUUUGCCAAAUAACAUGAACGCACAGUCACUGUUUGGAGGAGGAAUUUAGCAAACAGUCAGUGUAAGCAAAGGGCAAAAAAGGUUUAAACUUGAUUUAGUUCAUAUAAGCAUAACAAAAUCAAAGUAGGACGUCUUGGGUUGUAGAUACUCUAAUUUUUCGAUAAACCAAGAAAGCCAGGGAGGGGAAAGCAGUCAAUUUUCUAUUCGCAAGAGAGGAGAGCAGUCUAAGGCUAAGGGUCAGUGGUGCCGCAGGUUGGUUGCUUCUUUACAGUCUGUUGACAAUUUUAAAUGUCACUUGAUAGCAGUCAUCACCGUGGACUAGGCUGGCAACACAGUUCAACCUUUGGAAGCCAGACUCUGCCUCAAAACCACAGCGCCUGGAGCAGAUUCCAAAUAACAGAACAAUGACAGACUUAUUCAGAUAUUAACUUCAGUCUUACAUGGAUGCCAUACCUGCAUACAGAGAAACCCAGAAGAAUGAGAGUCAACAGCAUUUGUUGCAUGUGUUAUACAUUGUCUGUAAAAAGAGUUCAACCCUCUUGGAAGUUUCCCCGUUAUUGCUAUUCAACAUAG